GCUAAAGUGUUCGCUUGGACAGAUUGGAUUUGCAGCAGUGUGGAGGGGUUGGAGAUGUUGCCUUUGCGAUUUCGGCUGGAUUUGGACCAUCAGCGGACAUGCCUGGAGGAGGACAGUAGCUGUCUGUGAGCUGAGAUCCGGGAGCUGAAAACCGACAUUAGACCCCUCGCAUAAGUGAUCCAUCGCUCUCAACACAUGCUGAGCCUGGAUUCCUGCCUUUGAUCUGCAUAAUAUGCCUCCUCCUCUUCAUCUCCCAUCUCCGUUUAUCACAUCAUGUGUGAAUGCAGAACAUCAGUGAGGUGUCACACAAGUCCAAAGCCAGAGGACCUAUGAAGGCUCAGGUGGAAGAUCUGAGGAAACAGCUCAAGGCCAAGAGCAGGAUUAUUCACAGUCUGAAAGAGGAAAUUAAGACUCCUUUGUUCCAGAAUGCACAAAAGAAG